rnacentral:rRNA from 1 species
GAAUUUUGGACAAUGGGCGCAAGCCUGAUCCAGCCAUGCCGCGUGAGUGAAGAAGGCCUUCGGGUUGUAAAGCUCUUUCGGCGGGGACGAAACGGUCCGUGCUAACACCACGGACUAAUGCCGGUCCUCGCAGAAAAAACACCGGCUAACUACCCUCCAGCCGCCGCGGUAAUACGUAGGGUGCAGGCGUUAAUCGGAAUUACUGGGCGUAAAGCGUGCGCAGGCGGCUCCUUAAGUCAGAUGUGAAAGCCCCGGGCUUAACCUGGGAACUGCGUUUGAAACUGGGGAGCUAGAGUGUGGAAGAGGGGGGUGGAAUUCCAGGUGUAGCAGUGAAAUGCGUAGAGAUCUGGAGGAACACCGAUGGCGAAGGCAGCCCCCUGGGCUAACACUGACGCUCAUGCACGAAAGCGUGGGGAGCAAACAGG